rnacentral:rRNA from 1 species
AUUGAACGCUGGCGGAAUGCUUUACACAUGCAAGUCGAACGGCAGCACGGACUUCGGUCUGGUGGCGAGUGGCGAACGGGUGAGUAACAUAUCGGAACGUAUCCAAUAAUCGGGGAUAACGAGUCGAAAGAUUCGCUAAUACCGCAUACGCCCUACGGGGGAAAGCUGGGGACCUUCGGGCCUGGCGUUAAUGGAGCGGCCGAUAUCUGAUUAGCUGGUUGGUGAGGUAAAGGCUCACCAAGGCGACGAUCAGUAGCUGGUCUGAGAGGACGACCAGCCAGACUGGAACUGCGACACGGUCCAGACUCCUACGGGAAGCGGCAGUGGGGAAUUUUGGACAAUGGGCGCAAGCCUGAUCCAGCCAUUCCGCGUGAGUGAAGAAGGCCUUCGGGUUGUAAAACUCUUUCGCAAGGGAAGAAAACUUAGCCACUAACAUUGGUUGAGGUUGACGGUACCUUGAUAAGAAGCACCGGCUAACUACGUGCCAGCAGCCGCAGUAA